rfam:Myotis lucifugus cont2.33698, whole genome shotgun sequence.
UUUAAAGUAUAAGUAUAUCCCAUGCAAUAUUUGGGAUAUCCUUAUACUAAAA